rnacentral:rRNA from 1 species
UACGUAGGGUGCAAGCGUUGUCCGGAAUUAUUGGGCGUAAAGAGUUCGUAGGCGGUCUGUCGCGUCGAAUGUGAAAACCCGGGGCUCAACCCCGGGCCUGCAUUCGAUACGGGCAGACUAGAGUUCGGUAGGGGAGUCUGGAAUUCCUGGUGUAGCGGUGAAAUGCGCAGAUAUCAGGAGGAACACCGGUGGCGAAGGCGGGACUCUGGGCCGAUACUGACGCUGAGGAGCGAAAGCGUGGGGAGCAAACAGG